rnacentral:sRNA from 1 species
AAACAGCUGAUAUAGACAUCCACACAGAUAACUUUGACAAAAAAGGAUCAAACAAAAUCGGUUGUUAUCUAAAUCUUUUCAUGGAAGCCAUUGAGAAGGAUAAAUUCAAGGCAUCAUUGUAUUACUGGAC